rnacentral:rRNA from 1 species
AUGCCUCGUCAUCUAAUUAGUGACGCGCAUGAAUGGAUUAACGAGAUUCCUACUGUCCCUAUCUACUAUCUAGCGAAACCACAGCCAAGGGAACGGGCUUGGAAUAAUUAGCGGGGAAAGAAGACCCUGUUGAGCUUGACUCUAGUCUGGCAGUGUAAGGAGACAUAAGAGGUGUAGCAUAAGUGGGAGAUAUAUUAGUUUCGGCUAAAUAUAUCAAAAAUGAAAUACCACUACUCUUAUUGUUUCCUUACUUACUUGAUAAAAUGGAACGUGUAUCAUUCACUUAGCCAUUACACGGAUAUAUUUAUAUAUUUUAUGGUAUUUUGUUUUGAUGCGAGCUUCUUGUUUAAAGUACCAAGAGUUUGUUAUAUACACCAAACAAAUUACAAUUAAAUUUGCUUUCCAUUAAUAAUGGUUUGUUAAAUAUUAAUUGAAUUUGGUAUAACUAUUAUACUCAGGUAUGAUCCAAUUCAAGGACAUUGCCAGGUGGGGAGUUUGACUGGGGCGGUACAUCUCUCAAAUAAUAACGGAGGUGUCCCAAGGCCAGCUCAGUGCGGACAGAAACCACACAUAGAGCAAAAGGGCAAAUGCUGACUUGAUCUCGGUGUUCAGUACAUACAGAGACAGCAAAAGCU